rnacentral:rRNA from 1 species
CAGUCGCCGCGGGAAUACGGAGGGUGCAAGCGUUAAUCGGAAUUACUGGGCGUAAAGCGCACGCAGGCGGUCUGUCAAGUCAGAUGUGAAAUCCCCGGGCUUAACCUGGGAACUGCAUUUGAAACUGGCAGGCUAGAGUCUUGUAGAGGGGGGUAGAAUUCCAGGUGUAGCGGUGAAAUGCGUAGAGAUCUGGAGGAAUACCGGUGGCGAAGGCGGCCCCCUGGACAAAGACUGACGCUCAGGUGCGAAAGCGUGGGGAGCAAACAGGAUUAGAUACCCCAGUAGUCCCUGUCUCUUAUAA